rnacentral:rRNA from 1 species
UUUAUGGAGAGUUUGAUCCUGGCUCAGAGUGAACGCUGGCGGCGUGCCUAAUACAUGCAAGUCGAACGAUGAAGCUUCUAGCUUGCUAGAAGUGGAUUAGUGGCGCACGGGUGAGUAAUGCAUAGAUAACAUGCCUCAUAGUCUGGGAUAGCCACUGGAAACGGUGAUUAAUACUGGAUAUUCCCUACGGGGGAAAGUUUUUCGCUAUGAGAUUGGUCUAUGUCCUAUCAGCUUGUUGGUGAGGUAAUGGCUCACCAAGGCUAUGACGGGUAUCCGGCCUGAGAGGGUGAUCGGACACACU